GACAGAGGUGCCAAGCGUUAGGCGGAAUCACUGGGCUUAAAGCGUGUGUAGGCGGAUGUCUAAGUGCCUUGUGAAAUCCCACGGCUCAACCGUGGAACUGCUUGGUAUACUGGACGUCUUGAGCCAGCUAGGGGCUACCGGAACAAAUGGUGGAGCGGUGAAAUGCGUAGAUAUCAUUUGGAACGCCAAUGGUGAAAACAGGUAGCUGGGGCUGUGCUGACGCUGAGACACGAAAGCCAGGGGAGCGAACGGG
rnacentral:rRNA from 1 species